rnacentral:rRNA from 1 species
ACUCCUACGGGAGGCAGCAGUAGGGAAUAUUGGGCAAUGGAUGCAAGUCUGACCCAGCCAUGCCGCGUGCAGGAAGAAGGUCCUCUGGAUUGUAAACUGCUUUUUUGGGGGAAGAAUAGUUUUCUUGCGAGGAAAUGUGACGGUACCCUAAGAAUAAGCCACGGCUAACUACGUGCCAGCAGCCGCGGUAAUACGUAGGUGGCAAGCGUUGUCCGGAUUUAUUGGGUUUAAAGGGUGCGUAGGUGGUUUGAUAAGUCAGUGGUGAAAGCCGGUUGCUCAACAAUCGAGUUGCCAUUGAUACUGUCGGACUUGAGAGAAGUGGAGGUUCAUGGAAUGGAUGGUGUAGCGGUGAAAUGCAUAGAUAUCAUCCAGAACGUCGAUUGCGAAGGCAGUGGGCUGUACUUUAUCUGACACUGAGGCACGAAAGUGUGGGGAUCAAACAGGAUUAGAUACCCUGGUAGUCCACACUGUAAACGAUGCGAACUAGCUUUUUGGUUUUUGGAUUGGGAGGCUAAGGGAAACCGAUAAGUUCGCCACCUGGGGAGUACGCCGGCAACGGUGAAACUCAAAGGAAUUGACGGGGGUCCGCACAAGC